rnacentral:misc_RNA from 1 species
UUAAAGAUCAUGCUCCAAAAUAAUGAUGAAUAUGUGAUUCAUUCUAAAGAAAGAUUCUCUGGUUCUUCCUUCACUUCUCGGCCAAUCUCUUGUAAUGCCAAUUUUCUUUACACCGCUCCAAUUCCUCUUACAGGUACAGUUUUUGCAUAAUCGGACACGGCAUUUGACUGCUGUUAUUCGAUUUCCCUAUUUUGCUGCUGCUCCUGCUUCUUCUCGGAGGACCCACCCUGAUUUCUUCGUCGGAAUUUGAGCAAUUAGAGCUUGUUAUUAUUGAUGGCGGAUCUCAAAGAGCGCCUGCUUCCACCAAAACCUGCGUCUGCUAUAAAUCUAAGAGAUGC